rnacentral:rRNA from 1 species
GACGAACGCGGCGGCGUGCUUAACACAUGCAAGUCGAACGGAGCGAAUGAAAGCUUGCUUUUAUAAGCUUAGUGGCAAACGGGUGAGUAACACGUAGGCAACCUGCCGACAGGAUGGGGACAACAUUCCGAAAGGAAUGCUAAUACCGAAUGAAGCGCAGGAGAGGCAUCUCCCCUGCGUGAAAGAUGGCCUCUAUAUAUAAGCUAUCACCUGUUGAUGGGCCUGCGUCUGAUUAGCUGGUAGGUGAGGUAACGGCUCACCUAGGCGACGAUCAGUAGCCGGUCUUAGAGGAUGAACGGCCACAUUGGGACUGAGACACGGCCCAGACUCCUACGGGAGGCAGCAGAGGGGAAUCUUCCGCAAUGGGCGCAAGCCUGACGGAGCAACGCCGCGUGAGUGAAGAAGGUCUUCGGAUCGUAAAGCUCUGUUGAUGGGGACGAACGUGCCUAAUGCGAAUAGUUUAGGUAAUGACGGUACCCAUCGAGAGCCCCG